rnacentral:rRNA from 1 species
GAGUUUGAUCAUGGCUCAGGACGAACGCUGGCGGCGUGCCUAACACAUGCAAGUCGAACGGGAAUAUGAUUUCGGUUAUAUUUCAGUGGCGAACGGGUGAGUAACGCGUGAGCAACCUGACCUUCAGAGGGGGAUAACACUUGGAAACAGGUGCUAAUACCGCAUAAGACCACGACCCGACAUCGGGAUGAGGUCAAAGGAGCAAUCCGCUGAAGGAGGGGCUCGCGUCCCAUUAGAUAGAUGGCGGGGUAACGGCCCACCAUGUCGACGAUGGGUAGCCGAGCUGAGAGGCUGAUCGGCCACACUGGAACUGAGACACGGUCCAGACUCCUACGGGAGGCAGCAGUGGGGAAUAUUGGGCAAUGGGCGCAAGCCUGACCCAGCAACGCCGCGUGAGGGAAGAAGGCCUUCGGGUUGUAAACCUCUGUCCUUGGUGACGAAACAAAUGACGGUAGCCAAGGAGGAAGCCCCGGCUAACUACGUGCCAGCAGCCGCGGUAAUACGUAGGGGGCGAGCGUUGUCCGGAAUUACUGGGCGUAAAGGGUGCGUAGGUGGCCUUUUAAGUUGGAUGUGAAAUACCCGGGCUUAACUUGGGGGGUGCAUCUAAUACUGGAGGGCUAGAGUGCAGGAGAGGGAAGCGGAAUUCCUAGUGUAGCGGUGAAAUGCGUAGAUAUUAGGAGGAACACCAGUGGCGAAGGCGGCUUUCUGGACUGUAACUGACACUGAGGCACGAAAGCGUGGGGAGCAAACAGGAUUAGAUACCCUGUAGUCCACGCUGUAAACGAUGAAUACUAGGUGUAGGGGGUAUCAACUCCCCCUGUGCCGGAGCAAACGCAAUAAGUAUUCCGCCUGGGGAGUACGGCCGCAAGGUUGAAACUCAAAGGAAUUGACGGGGG